rnacentral:snRNA from 1 species
GUGCUCGCUUCGGCAGCACACACACUGAAACUGGAACGAUAACAGAUUAGCAUGGCCCCCGCGCAAGGGUGACACGCAAAUUCGCGAGGCGCUCCAUAUUUUU